GGGAUGAGCCCGCGUAGGAUUAGCUAGUUGGUGUGGUAAAGGCGCACCAAGGCGACGAUCCUUAGCUGGUCUGAGAGGAUGAUCAGCCACACUGGGACUGAGACACGGCCCAGACUCCUACGGGAGGCAGCAGUGGGGAAUAUUGGACAAUGGGCGAAAGCCUGAUCCAGCAAUGCCGCGUGAGUGAUGAAGGCCUUAGGGUUGUAAAGCUCUUUUACCCGGGAUGAUAAUGACAGUACCGGGAGAAUAAGCUCCGGCUAACUCCGUGCCAGCAGCCGCGGUAAUACGGAGGGAGCUAGCGUUAUUCGGAAUUACUGGGCGUAAAGCGCACGUAGGCGGCUUUGUAAGUAAGAGGUGAAAGCCUGGUGCUCAACACCAGAACUGCCUUUUAGACUGCAUCGCUUGAAUCCAGGAGAGGUGAGUGGAAUUCCGAGUGUAGAGGUGAAAUUCGUAGAUAUUCGGAAGAACACCAGUGGCGAAGGCGGCUCACUGGACUGGUAUUGACGCUGAGGUGCGAAAGCG
rnacentral:rRNA from 1 species